ensembl:lncRNA
GUGUGUGUGUGUGUGUGUGUGUGUGUGUGUGUGUUGAGUCUCUGUGUUGAGUCUCUGGGUUGAGUCUCUGUGUUGAGUUCUGUGUUGAGUUCUGUGUUGAGUCUCUGUGUUGAGUCUCUGGGUUGAGUGUGUGUGUGUGUGUGUGUGUGUGUGUGUGUGUGUGUGUGUGUGUGUGUGUGUGUGUGUGUGUGUGUGUUGAGUCUCUGGGUUGAGUCUCUGUGUUGAGUUCUGUGUUGAGUUCUUUGUUGAGUCUCUGUGUUGAGUCUCUGGGUUGAGUGUGUGUGUGUGUGUGUGUGUGUGUGUGUGUGUGUGUGUGUGUUGAGUCUCUGUGUUGAGUUCUGUGUUGAAUUCUGUGUUGAGUCUCUGGGUUGAGUCUCUGGGUUGAGUGUGUGUGUGUGUGUGUGUGUGUGUGUGUGUGUGUGGUGUUCUCUGGGUUGAGUCUCUGUGUUGAGUUCUGUGUUGUCUCUGGGUUGAGUGUGUGUGUGUGUGUGUGUGUGUGUUGAGUCUCUGUGUUGAGUCUCUGUGUUGAGUUCUGUGUUGAGUCUCUGGGUUGAGUGUGUGUGUGUGUGUGUGUGUGUGUGUGUGUGUGUUCUCUGUGUUGAGUCUCUGGGUU